UUAACGGAAGUUUUCGGAUGGAAGUUGAAUUGACUGACUGGCGGACGGGUGAGUAACGCGUGGGUAACCUGCCUUGUACUGGGGGACAACAGUUAGAAAUGACUGCUAAUACCGCAUAAGCGCACAGUAUCGCAUGAUACAGUGUGAAAAACUCCGGUGGUACAAGAUGGACCCGCGUCUGAUUAGCUAGUUGGUAAGGUAACGGCUUACCAAGGCGACGAUCAGUAGCCGACCUGAGAGGGUGACCGGCCACAUUGGGACUGAGACACGGCCCAAACUCCUACGGGAGGCAGCAGUGGGGAAUAUUGCACAAUGGGCGAAAGCCUGAUGCAGCGACGCCGCGUGAGUGAAGAAGUAUUUCGGUAUGUAAAGCUCUAUCAGCAGGGAAGAAAAUGACGGUACCUGACUAAGAAGCCCCGGCUAACUACGUGCCAGCAGCCGCGGUAAUACGUAGGGGGCAAGCGUUAUCCGGAUUUACUGGGUGUAAAGGGAGCGUAGACGGUAAAGCAAGUCUGAAGUGAAAGCCCGCGGCUCAACUGCGGGACUGCUUUGGAAACUGUUUAACUGGAGUGUCGGAGAGGUAAGUGGAAUUCCUAGUGUAGCGGUGAAAUGCGUAGAUAUUAGGAGGAACACCAGUGGCGAAGGCGACUUACUGGACGAUAACUGACGUUGAGGCUCGAAAGCGUGGGG
rnacentral:rRNA from 1 species